CUUUACGGCCAUACCAGCCUGGGUACGCCCGAUCUCGUCUGAUCUCGGAAGCUAAGCAGGGUCUGGCCUGGUUAGUACUUGGAUGGGAGACCACCUGGGAAUACCAGGUGCUGUAAGCA
rnacentral:rRNA from 1 species